rnacentral:rRNA from 1 species
UACGUAGGGUGCAAGCGUUUAAUCGGAAUUACUGGGCGUAAAGCGUGCGCAGGCGGUGAUGUAAGACAGGUGUGAAAUCCCCGGGCUUAACCUGGGAACUGCAUUGGUGACUGCAGCGCUGGAGUAUGGCAGAGGGGGGUGGAAUUCCACGUGUAGCAGUGAAAUGCGUAGAGAUGCGGAGGAACACCGAUGGCGAAGGCAGCCCCCUGGGCUAACACUGACGCUCAGGCACGAAAGCGUGGGGAGCAAACAGG